rnacentral:rRNA from 1 species
GAAAGCGUGGGGAGCGAACAGGAUUAGAUACCCUGGUAGUCCACGCCGUAAACGGUGGAUGCUGGAUGUGGGGCCCGUUCCACGGGUUCCGUGUCGGAGCUAACGCGUUAAGCAUCCCGCCUGGGGAGUACGGCCGCAAGGCUAAAACUCAAAGAAAUUGACGGGGGCCCGCACAAGCGGCGGAGCAUGCGGAUUAAUUCGAUGCAACGCGAAGAACCUUACCUGGGCUUGACAUGUUCCCGACAGCCGUAGAGAUACGGUCUCCCUUCGGGGCGGGUUCACAGGUGGUGCAUGGUCGUCGUCAGCUCGUGUCGUGAGAUGUUGGGUUAAGUCCCGCAACGAGCGCAACCCUCGCCCUGUGUUGCCAGCACGUCGUGGUGGGAACUCACGGGGGACCGCCGGGGUCAACUCGGAGGAAGGUGGGGAUGACGUCAGAUCAUCAUGCCCCUUACGUCCAGGGCUUCACGCAUGCUACAAUGGCCGGUACAACGGGAUGCGACACGGCGACGUGGAGCGGAUCCCUGAAAACCGGUCUCAGUUCGGAUUGGAGUCUGCAACCCGACUCCAUGAAGGCGGAGUCGCUAGUAAUCGCGGAUCAGCAACGCCGCGGUGAAUGCGUUCCCGGGCCUUGUACACACCGCCCGUCAAGUCAUGAAAGUGGGUAGCACCCGAAGCCGGUGGCCCAACCUUUUUGGGGGGAGCCGUCUAAGGUGAGACUCGUGAUUGGGACUAAGUCGUAACAAGGUAGCCGUACCGGAAGGUGCGGCUG